CCCUUAGAUGUUCUGGGCCGCACGCGCGCUACACUGACGAAUGCAACGAGCUUAUAACCUUGGCCGAAAGGUCUGGGUAAUCUCCAAAUUUCGUCGUGAUGGGGAUAGAUUAUUGCAAUUAUUAAUCUUCAACGAGGAAUGCCUAGUAAGCGCAAGUCAUCAGCUUGCGUUGAUUACGUCCCUGCCCUUUGUACACACCGCCCGUCGCUCCUACCGAUUGAAUGGUCCGGUGAAGCGCUCGGACCGCGGCCUCUUGACGGUUUUCCGUCGAUUGGCUGUGGGAAGUUCGUUAAACCUUAUCAUUUAGAGGAAGGAGAAGUCGUAACA
rnacentral:rRNA from 1 species